rnacentral:rRNA from 1 species
CCUACGGGGGGCAGCAGUGGGGAAUAUUGGGCAAUGGGCGCAAGCCUGACCCAGCAACGCCGCGUGAAGGAAGAAGGCUUUCGGGUUGUAAACUUCUUUUGUCAGGGACGAAGCAAGUGACGGUACCUGACGAAUAAGCCACGGCUAACUACGUGCCAGCAGCCGCGGUAAUACGUAGGUGGCAAGCGUUAUCCGGAUUUACUGGGUGUAAAGGGCGUGUAGGCGGGACUGCAAGUCAGAUGUGAAAACCACGGGCUCAACCUGUGGACUGCAUUUGAAACUGUAGUUCUUGAGUACUGGAGAGGCAGACGGAAUGCCAGGUGUAGCGGGGAAAUGCGUAGAUAGAAGGAGGAACAGCAGGGGCGAAGGCGGUCUGCGGGACAGCAAGUGACGCGGAGGCGCGAAGGGGUGGGGAGCAAACAGGAUUAGAGACCCGUGUAGUC